rnacentral:rRNA from 1 species
UGGGGAAUAUUGGACAAUGGGCGAAAGCCUGAUCCAGCCAUGCCGCGUGAGUGACGAAGGCCUUAGGGUUGUAAAACUCUUUCGUCGGGGACGAUAAUGACGGUACCCGAAGAAGAAGCUCCGGCUAACUUCGUGCCAGCAGCCGCGGUAAUACGAAGGGAGCUAGCGUUGUUCGGAAUCACUGGGCGUAAAGCGCACGUAGGCGGAUAGUUAAGUCAGGGGUGAAAUCCUGGGGCUCAACCCCAGAACUGCCUUUGAUACUGGCUGUCUCGAGGUCGAGAGAGGUUGGUGGAAUUCCUAGUGUAGAGGUGAAAUUCGUAGAUAUUAGGAAGAACACCAGUGGCGAAGGCGGCCAACUGGCUCGGUACUGACGCUCAUGCACGAAAGCGUGGGGAGCAAACAGGAUUAGAUACCCGUGUAGUCCCUGAGCGGGCUGGCAAGGCGCAU